GUCUCUUUGAGUCAUACUAAUAAAGAGUUGGGCCUGCUCGGUGAGGAAAUUUUAACAGCUGCGGUAUUAUAACUGUACUAAGGUAGCAUAAUAAUUUGCCUUAUAAAUUAAGGCUAGAAUGAAUGGUUUGACGAAAAUUAAACUGUCUUUAUUUUAUUUAUUAGAAAUUAAUUUUUAUAGUGAGAAAGCUUGAAUGGUUUAGAGGGACGAGAAGACCCUAUUGAGUUUUUAUUAAUAGUUAGAUAUAGUAUAAAAUGUUAUUAAUGUUUUAGUAUAAAUAGAGUUUAAUAAAGUUAAUUUUGAUUGGGGUGAUCAAGGAAUAAAAAAUAGUUAACUUCCUUAAUGUUAAAAAUUUUUUUAUUAAAUAAUAAACCAAAUUUUUUGCUUAUAAGAUAAGUUACCAUAGGGGUAACAGCGUAAUUUUUUUUGAGAGUUCAUAUUGAAAAAAAAGAUUGCGACCUCGAUGUUGGAUUAAAAGUACCUUAGGGAGUAGAGGCUUUAUUAGGUGAAUCUGUUCGAUUUU
rnacentral:rRNA from 1 species